ACUCCGUUGGUGAACCAGCGGAGGGAUCAUUACAGGACUCGCAAGACUCCUUCACCCUGUGAACCUCACUACAAGCACGUUGCUUCGGCGGGUGUCCCGGCGGGGGUUUUCCCUCGCCGGGGCGCACAGCCCGCCGGCAGCCUACUAUACUCUGUCUCUUUGCGUUGGCAUCUCGAGAAAAAACAAACAAGUUAAAACUUUCAACAACGGAUCUCUUGGUUCUG
rnacentral:misc_RNA from 1 species